rnacentral:rRNA from 1 species
UACGAAGGGGGCUAGCGUUGCUCGGAAUCACUGGGCGUAAAGCGCACGUAGGCGGAUUGUUAAGUCAGGGGUGAAAUCCUGGAGCUCAACUCCAGAACUGCCUUUGAUACUGGCGAUCUCGAGUCCGGGAGAGGUGAGUGGAACUGCGAGUGUAGAGGUGAAAUUCGUAGAUAUUCGCAAAGAACACCAGUGGCGAAGGCGGCUCACUGGCCCGGUACUGACGCUGAGGUGCGAAAGCGUGGGAGCAACAGG